rnacentral:rRNA from 1 species
UGGGGAAUAUUGCGCAAUGGGCGAAAGCCUGACGCAGCGACGCCGCGUGAGGGAUGAAGGUCUUCGGAUUGUAAACCUCUUUCAGCAGGGACGAAGCGAAAGUGACGGUACCUGCAGAAGCAGCCCCGGCUAACUCUGUGCCAGCAGCCGCGGUAAGACAGCGGGGGCAAGCGUUGUCCGGAGUUACUGGGCGUAAAGAGCUCGUAGGGGGUUCGUUACGUCGGAGGUGAAAAUCUGGGGCUCAACCCC